rnacentral:tRNA from 1 species
GAUUAGAUGGCUGAAGUUUAGGCGAUAGACUGUAAAUCUAUAUAUAAGAAUAUUCUUUCUAGUCA